AAUACCUGAGUACAGUGGCGCACGGGUGAGUAACACGUGACUAACCUACCCUGGAGUGGGGGAGUAACUGAGGGAAACCUUAGCUAAUACCGCAUAACACCUACGGGUCAAAGGAGCAAUUCGCUUCAGGAGGGGGUCGCGGCCGAUUAGUUAGUUGGCGGGGUAAUGGCCCACCAAGACAGUGAUCGGUAUCCGGCCUGAGAGGGCGCACGGACACACUGGAACUGAAACACGGUCCAG
rnacentral:rRNA from 1 species